rnacentral:rRNA from 1 species
CCCUUAGAUGUUCUGGGCCGCACGCGCGUUACAAUGAAUCGUUCAACAGGUUUUUUUCCUGAGCCGAAAGGUUUGGGUAAUCCUUUAAAUACGGUUCGUGCUAGGGAUAGAUUUUUGCAAUUAUUAAUCUUGAACGAGGAAUAUUUAGUAAACGCAGGUCAUCAGCCUGCAUUGAUUACGUCCCUGCCCUUUGUACACACCGCCCGUCGCACCUACCGAUUGAAUGGUCCGGUGAAAUCUCGGGACGGCGGCUUGGUCGCUUGCGUCCGACUGCUGAAACUUGAUUAAACCAUAUCAUUUAGAGGAAGGUGAAGUCGUAACA